rnacentral:rRNA from 1 species
UACGGGAGGCAGCAGUGGGGAAUAUUGCACAAUGGGCGCAAGCCUGAUGCAGCCAUGCCGCGUGUAUGAAGAAGGCCUUCGGGUUGUAAAGUACUUUCAGCGGGGAGGAAGGCGAUGCGGUUAAUAACCGCGUCGAUUGACGUUACCCGCAGAAGAAGCACCGGCUAACUCCGUGCCAGCAGCCGCGGUAAUACGGAGGGUGCAAGCGUUAAUCGGAAUUACUGGGCGUAAAGCGCACGCAGGCGGUCUGUUAAGUCAGAUGUGAAAUCCCCGGGCUUAACCUGGGAACUGCAUUUUGAAACUGGCAGGCUUGAGUCUUGUAGAGGGGGUAGAAUUCCAGGUGUAGCGGUGAAAUGCGUAGAGAUCUGGAGGAAUACCGGUGGCGAAGGCGGCCCCUGGGACAAAGACUGACGCUCAGGUGCGAAAGCGUGGGGAGCAAACAGGAUUAGGAUACC